rnacentral:rRNA from 2 species
GUCGAACGAACUCUGGUAUUGAUUGGUGCUUGCAUCAUGAUUUACAUUUGAGUGAGUGGCGAACUGGUGAGUAACACGUGGGAAACCUGCCCAGAAGCGGGGGAUAACACCUGGAAACAGAUGCUAAUACCGCAUAACAACUUGGACCGCAUGGUCCGAGUUUGAAAGAUGGCUUCGGCUAUCACUUUUGGAUGGUCCCGCGGCGUAUUAGCUAGAUGGUGAGGUAACGGCUCACCAUGGCAAUGAUACGUAGCCGACCUGAGAGGGUAAUCGGCCACAUUGGGACUGAGACACGGCCCAAACUCCUACGGGAGGCAGCAGUAGGGAAUCUUCCACAAUGGACGAAAGUCUGAUGGAGCAACGCCGCGUGAGUGAAGAAGGGUUUCGGCUCGUAAAACUCUGUUGUUAAAGAAGAACAUAUCUGAGAGUAACUGUUCAGGUAUUGACGGUAUUUAACCAGAAAGCCACGGCUAACUACGUGCCAGCAGCCGCGGUAAUACGUAGGUGGCAAGCGUUGUCCGGAUUUAUUGGGCGUAAAGCGAGCGCAGGCGGUUUUUUAAGUCUGAUGUGAAAGCCUUCGGCUCAACCGAAGAAGUGCAUCGGAAACUGGGAAACUUGAGUGCAGAAGAGGACAGUGGAACUCCAUGUGUAGCGGUGAAAUGCGUAGAUAUAUGGAAGAACACCAGUGGCGAAGGCGGCUGUCUGGUCUGUAACUGACGCUGAGGCUCGAAAGUAUGGGUAGCAAACAGGAUUAGAUACCCUGGUAGUCCAUACCGUAAACGAUGAAUGCUAAGUGUUGGAGGGUUUCCGCCCUUCAGUGCUGCAGCUAACGCAUUAAGCAUUCCGCCUGGGGAGUACGGCCGCAAGGCUGAAACUCAAAGGAAUUGACGGGGGCCCGCACAAGCGGUGGAGCAUGUGGUUUAAUUCGAAGCUACGCGAAGAACCUUACCAGGUCUUGACAUACUAUGCAAAUCUAAGAGAUUAGACGUUCCCUUCGGGGACAUGGAUACAGGUGGUGCAUGGUUGUCGUCAGCUCGUGUCGUGAGAUGUUGGGUUAAGUCCCGCAACGAGCGCAACCCUUAUUAUCAGUUGCCAGCAUUAAGUUGGGCACUCUGGUGAGACUGCCGGUGACAAACCGGAGGAAGGUGGGGAUGACGUCAAAUCAUCAUGCCCCUUAUGACCUGGGCUACACACGUGCUACAAUGGAUGGUACAACGAGUUGCGAACUCGCGAGAGUAAGCUAAUCUCUUAAAGCCAUUCUCAGUUCGGAUUGUAGGCUGCAACUCGCCUACAUGAAGUCGGAAUCGCUAGUAAUCGCGGAUCAGCAUGCCGCGGUGAAUACGUUCCCGGGCCUUGUACACACCG